UUGGUCGACAAAGUGCGCGAAAUCGAGGCUAUAAAGUUAAACGAAGAUUUUGUGCGGAAGAAAUACGAAAAGUCUGAGCAGGCGUUAGUAGCAACAGUGGGUGCAUCCUUUCCGAAGGGCCCCAGUCGCAAAUUUGAUUAUAAGCCUCAGAGGGUUUCACAAAACUACGGUGGCAGGUCUUUCAGAGGCAGUUUCCGAGCCCAACGAACUGGACAGAUCUAUGCUGGCAGCAGUCCAUCGUUCCGAUCAACACGUGGAGAAAAAUGCUGGCGUUGCCACAGCCCGUAUCAUGGAGGUAAUGAUUGCAGCCACAAAGAUAAAAGGUGUAAUUAUUGUGGCAUUCUUGGUCAUAUCCAACGAGCUUGCCGCUCGCAUCGUCAUGUGUCAGGAGUCAAGCGUCCAACUGACUUGAUGGAAGACGCGCCCCAGACACGGAAGAUAGCCGCAAUCGAAGAGGUUAAAGAUGAUGCAGAAUCUGAUCAAACAGUAAGUGAACCCAAUGGUUUUUAAAUUCCUCUUUUUUUCUCAUUUGAAUUCGCUUAUCGGUACCUAAAAUGAGAAUAGAAUAACGAAAAGUUAAAGACCAGAGAACAAAGUUAAAUUUAACUGAAAUGUUGGAGUUCCCUUUUCCUUUUUUAUUUUAAUCAGUUACUGAUCAUUAAAAAUCAAUAUGUAUGAGAUCAACGUGUAAGAAAAAAAAAACAAAUAAAGAAAUCUAUGAAACGCAUUAUAUGUUUUUAUAGACACAUCUGAAGCCGGAACGAGCCAUAAGACAAAUCGCAAAUGCACCUCAUGUUAACAAAAUUCCGAUCAGUAACAGAGAAGAGACAAGACAGAAAUCCGUACGAAUAGCGAUCGAAACGGCGAACAUUUUGGAUAACAAGAGUGGUUUGCUAAAGUCAUCCAAAAAUGCUUCAAACUCAACCGCAGAAAAUGAUUUGAAUGCUCAGAACAGCGGAAACGAACAGAACCAUACUGAGCCCACGAAAACAGAAACCUCCGGGCUCAGUACGGUGUUUCACAUAGCAUCAAAUUGUCAACGUAUUGGCGUAGAUGAGGCUAUAAUCACUGCUACAGUAUCAGGAAUGCCGUGCGGUUUCAUGAUUGAUUCAGGGGCGCAAGUAAACACAUUUACUGAGGAUAUGUUUAAGCAAC